UGGAGGACGUUUGACCGAAUUAUUUAAUGGUAAAGUAAGAAUAAUAAAAGCAAGAAAGUGAGAAACUAAGAGUUGCGAAAAAUAGUGAUAACCAGAAUACAAUUUAGAGAGGUGCUUGCUUCAGAGCCAGUGCUGACAUUUGUCGACACAUUAACACGAUACAUUAGCCGAAUUUCCAAUACAAUGGACAGCAAUAAAAUGCAGACUUUCUUGUAACAAAUCGCCAAAAUGUGUGUAAAGGUUUAUUAUUUGAUUCCUUUGCAUUCAGGUGCAUUUACAUGUGCAUAUGUGUGCAUAUUAGAUCCAAGGACGCCCCCAUGCAAGGAGAUCAAUGAAGGCCGUGGCCACAGACCGACCGUCAGCGACGCUUUCGUCAGCCGAGCGCAGUAGUGCCUACACCCUCUUUCCUACUACCCACACUCGGUUUACAUAUACUUAAUAAAAUAUGUGUUUUACGAUUAAUA